rnacentral:misc_RNA from 1 species
CCGAGUGAGGGCCCCCGGCCCGACCUCCAACCCUUUGUAUUCAACCUCUGUUGCCUCGGGGGUGACCCGGCUCCGGCCGCGUCCCCCCGGUGGACCACUGCAAAACACUGCAUCUAUGCGUCGGAUAAUACAUUUUAAUUUGAUUA